rnacentral:rRNA from 1 species
UACGAAGGGGGCUAGCGUUGUUCGGAAUUACUGGGCGUAAAGCGUGCGCAGGCGGCUUCUCAAGUCAGUGGUGAAAGCCCGGAGCUCAACUCCGGAAUUGCCAUUGAAACUGUGGAGCUUGAGGACGAGAGAGGUGAGUGGAAUUCCCAGUGAUAGAGGUGAAAUUCGUAAGAUAUUGGGAAGAACACCGGUGGCGAAGGCGGCUCACUGGCUCGUUUCUGACGCUCAGGCACGAUAGCGUGGGGAUCAAACAGG